GUUGAACGCUAGCGGGAUGCUUUACACAUGCAAGUCGAACGGCAGCGCGGACUUCGGUCUGGCGGCGAGUGGCGAACGGGUGAGUAAUGUAUCGGAACGUGCCCAGUAGCGGGGGAUAACUACGCGAAAGCGUAGCUAAUACCGCAUACGCCCUACGGGGGAAAGCAGGGGAUCGUAAGACCUUGCACUAUUGGAGCGGCCGAUAUCGGAUUAGCUAGUUGGUGAGGUAACGGCUCACCAAGGCGACGAUCCGUAGCUGGUUUGAGAGGACGACCAGCCACACUGGGACUGAGACACGGCCCAGACUCCUACGGGAGGCAGCAGUGGGGAAUUUUGGACAAUGGGGGCAACCCUGAUCCAGCCAUCCCGCGUGUGCGAUGAAGGCCUUCGGGUUGUAAAGCACUUUUGGCAGGAAAGAAACGUCGCGGGCUAAUACCCCGUGGAACUGACGGUACCUGCAGAAUAAGCACCGGCUAACUACGUG
rnacentral:rRNA from 1 species